GAUGAACGCUGGCGGCGUGCCUAAUACGUGCAAGUCGAGCGAACGGACGAGAAGCUUGCUUCUCUGAUGUUAGCGGCGGACGGGUGAGUAACACGUGGAUAACCUACCUAUAAGACUGGGAUAACUUCGGGAAACCGGAGCUAAUACCGGAUAAUAUUUUGAACCGCAUGGUUCAAAAGUGAAAGACGGUCUUGCUGUCACUUAUAGAUGGAUCCGCGCUGCAUUAGCUAGUUGGUAAGGUAACGGCUUACCAAGGCAACGAUGCAUAGCCGACCUGAGAGGGUGAUCGGCCACACUGGAACUGAGACACGGUCCAGACUCCUACGGGAGGCAGCAGUAGGGAAUCUUCCGCAAUGGGCGAAAGCCUGACGGAGCAACGCCGCGUGAGUGAUGAAGGUCUUCGGAUCGUAAAACUCUGUUAUUAGGGAAGAACAUAUGUGUAAGUAACUGUGCACAUCUUGACGGUACCUAAUCAGAAAGCAAGGGCUAACUACGUG
rnacentral:rRNA from 1 species